rnacentral:rRNA from 1 species
GGCGACGACGGGUAGCCGGCCUGAGAGGGUGACCGGCCACACUGGGACUGAGACACGGCCCAGACUCCUACGGGAGGCAGCAGUGGGGAAUAUUGCACAAUGGGCGCAAGCCUGAUGCAGCGACGCCGCGUGAGGGAUGACGGCCUUCGGGUUGUAAACCUCUUUCAGUAGGGAAGAAGCGAAAGUGACGGUACCUGCAGAAGAAGCGCCGGCUAACUACGUGCCAGCAGCCGCGGUAAUACGUAGGGCGCAAGCGUUAUCCGGAAUUAUUGGGCGUAAAGAGCUCGUAGGCGGUUUGUCGCGUCUGCCGUGAAAGUCCGGGGCUCAACUCCGGAUCUGCGGUGGGUACGGGCAGACUAGAGUGAUGUAGGGGAGACUGGAAUUCCUGGUGUAGCGGUGAAAUGCGCAGAUAUCAGGAGGAACACCGAUGGCGAAGGCAGGUCUCUGGGCAUUAACUGACGCUGAGGAGCGAAAGCAUGGGGAGCGAACAGGAUUAGAUACCCUGGUAGUCCAUGCCGUAAACGUUGGGCACUAGGUGUGGGGGACAUUCCACGUUUUCCGCGCCGUAGCUAACGCAUUAAGUGCCCCGCCUGGGGAAGUACGG